CCCCCACCCAUGUGUAUAGGACUCUAAAUGAUCACCAUUAAAUUUAGCACGGAUCUCUAAAAAAAUUAUCACAUGGGUGUAGGACUUGACUUUUUUAGAGAUCUGUACUAAGUUUAAUGGUGAUCCUUUGGGGUCCUACACACAUGGAUGGGGG
rnacentral:pre_miRNA from 1 species